rnacentral:rRNA from 1 species
UACGUAGGGUGCAAGCGUUGUCCGGAAUUAUUGGGCGUAAAGAGCUUGUAGGCGGUUUGUCGCGUCUGCUGUGAAAUUUCGGGGCUCAACCCCGAACUUGCAGUGGGUACGGGCAGACUAGAGUGUGGUAGGGGAGACUGGAAUUCCUGGUGUAGCGGUGAAAUGCGCAGAUAUCAGGAGGAACACCGAUGGCGAAGGCAGGUCUCUGGGCCAUAACUGACGCUGAGAAGCGAAAGCAUGGGGAGCGAACAG